rnacentral:lncRNA from 1 species
GGCAAAACAUAAUGUAACAGCCGACCCAUAACAACAUGGGCAAGAGGCAGAAGCAAACAGAUACAAAGAUACACUUGGAGGAGAGUCGCUUACAGCAGCAGCAACCACACGGCGGCUCCCUGACUGCCAUUUACCACUACUAUUUUUAGUAGUGUCAUAAAUUUAUGGCACAUUGUGGAGACUGGCAGAGAGUCUACUCCUGCCUUGGAGCGGCUUGGCUUGGCUCGACUCACGUGGUGAACGCCAGUCUGGAGUAGCUCCAGGAUAGGCAGCAGGACAGCAGGAGGUGCAAAUAUUGGGGCCAACAUGCAAAAUAACAUGCACACUGGCACCUACUUUAGCAAUCCAACAAAGAGAUGAUGAUGGCAGAUCGGACUGGAGUGGAACUCGAACUGGAGCUGAGAGUUUUUGCCAAUCAAACAAAUCAAAUAGGUAGAGUGGAUUCCGGUUACAACACUUUUAUGGUUACCAUUUCGGAAUUGUUAAUUAAAAGAUACACAGGCUGGAGGGAGGAGGGAGGAGGGAGCAGAGCAUAUUGGGGAAUUUUCUAUAGAAUGCGCUCGACUUCUCUCUGGCAAAUGUUUGCCUUGAACAAACACUUGAUCAAUAGCGGCACACUGUCCGUGUGUGUGUGAGAGCUACACUUGUAGAUUUUUAUGAUGCUUCCCCCUUCCGUGCAGCAUCUCGAGUGUG